AUACGUAGGGUGCAAGCGUUAAUCGGAAUUACUGGGCGUAAAGCGUGCGCAGGCGGUUUUGUAAGACAGUGGUGAAAUCCCCGGGGUCAACCUGGGGACUGCCUUUGUGACUGCAAGGCUAGAGGACGGCAGAGGGGGAUGGAAUUCCGCGUGGAGCAGUGAAAUGCGUAGAUAUGCGGAGGAACACCGAUGGCGAAGGCAAUCCCCUGGGCCUGUACUGACGCUCAUGCACGAAAGCGUGGGGAGCAAACAGGAUUAGAUACCCUGGUAGUCCACGCCCUAAACGAUGUCAACUGGUUGUUGGGUCUUCAUUGACUCAGUAACGAAGCUAACGCGUGAAGUUGACCGCCUGGGGAGUACGGCCGCAAGGUUGAAACUCAAAUGAAUUGGCGGGG
rnacentral:rRNA from 1 species